UACGUAGGGACCAAGCGUUGUUCGGAUUUACUGGGCGUAAAGGGCGCGUAGGCGGCAUGACAAGUCACUUGUGAAAUCUCCGGGCUUAACUCGGAACGGUCAAGUGAUACUGUCGCGCUAGAGUGCGGAAGGGGCAAUCAGAAUUCCUGGUGUAGCGGUGAAAUGCGCAGAUAUCAGGAGGAACACCAACGGCGAAGGCAGCACUCUGGGCCGGUACUGACGCUGAGGAGCGAAAGCGUGGGGAGCAAACAGG
rnacentral:rRNA from 1 species